AUUGGGUAGGGGAGCGUUCUGUAAGCGGUUGAAGGUGUGUGGUAACGCAUGCUGGACGUAUCAGAAGUGCGAAUGCUGACAUGAGUAACGAUAAAGGGGGUGAAAAACCUCCUCGCCGGAAGACCAAGGGUUCCUGUCCAACGUUAAUCGGGGCAGGGUAAGUCGACCCCUAAGGCGAGGCCGAAAGGCGUAGUCGAUGGGAAACGGGUUAAUAUUCCCGUACUUCUUACAAUUGCGAUG
rnacentral:rRNA from 1 species